rnacentral:rRNA from 1 species
ACAGGAGGUCAUUGAAGCCAGCUUCAGAAAAAGCUUCUAGUGAAAAUCAUACAGUAACCGUACCGAAAAUGGACACACAUGGGUGAGAGAGAAUCCUAAAGGUGAGCGAGGAGAACUAUAGCUAAGGAACUCUGCAAAAUGACUCCGUAACUUAGGGAGAAGGAGUGCUCAUAGAGAUAUGAGCCGCAGUGAAACGGCACAAGCGACUGUUUACCAAAAACACAGCUCUAUGCUAAGUCGAAAGACGACGUAUAUGGGGUGACGCCUGCCCGGUGCUGGAAGGUUAAGAGGAUGUGUCAGCGCAAGCGAAGCACUGAAUUGAAGCCCCAGUAAACGGCGGCCGUAACUAUAACGGUCCUAAGGUAGCGAAAUUCCUUGUCAGGUAAGUUCUGACCCGCACGAAAGGCGUAACGAUUUGGGCGCUGUCUCAGCUGUAGACUCGGUGAAGUCUUAGUACCUGUGAAGAUGCAGGUUACCCGCGACUAGACGGAAAGACCCCAUGGAGCUUUACUGUAGCUUGAUAUUGGACUUUGAUGCAGGAUGUACAGGAUAGGUAGGAGACUGAGAGACAUGCACGCCAGUGUGUGAGGAGUCGCUGUUGGGAUACUACUCUUCCUGUAUUGGAGUUCUAACCGGAUGCCAUAAGCUGGCAACGGGACAGUGUCAGGUGGGCAGUUUGACUGGGGCGGUCGCCUCCCAAAGAGUAACGGAGGCGCCCAAAGAUACCCUCAGCUUGGAUGGAAAUCAAGCGCAGAGUGCAAAGGCAAAAGGGUGUUUGACUGCGAGACCAACAAGUCGAGCAGGGACGAAAGUCGGGCUUAGUGAUCCGGCGGUGCUGAAUGGAAAGGCCGUCGCUCAACGGAUAAAAGCUACCCUGGGGAUAACAGGCUGAUCUCCCCCAAGAGUUCACAUCGACGGGGAGGUUUGGCACCUCGAUGUCGGCUCAUCGCAUCCUGGAGCUGAAGUCGGUUCCAAGGGUUGGGCUGUUCGCCCAUUAAAGCGGUACGCGAGCUGGGUUCAGAACGUCGUGAGACAGUUCGGUCCCUAUCUGUCGUGGGCGUAGGAAGUUUGAGAAGAUCUGUCCUCAGUACGAGAGGACCGGGAUGGACAUAUCAAUGGUGCACCAGUUGUCACGCCAGUGGCACAGCUGGGUAGCUAAAUAUGGAAGGGAUAAACGCUGAAGGCAUCUAAGUGUGAAACCCACUUCAAGAUGAGACUUCCCAUUACGCAAGUAGGUAAGACCCCUUAAAGACGAUAAGGUUGAUAGGUCAGGAGUGUAAGCAUGGUGACAUGUUCAGCGGACUGAUACUAAUAGGUCGAGGACUUAACCU